rnacentral:rRNA from 1 species
GGGCCCGCACAAGCGGUGGAGUAUGUGGUUUAAUUCGAUGCAACGCGAAGAACCUUACCAGGGUUUGACAUCCUGCGAAUCUCUUGGAAACGGGAGAGUGCCUUCGGGAACGCAGUGACAGGUGGUGCAUGGCUGUCGUCAGCUCGUGUCGUGAGAUGUUGGGUUAAGUCCCGCAACGAGCGCAACCCACGUCUUUAGUUGCCAGCAUUUAGUUGGGGCACUCUAGAGAGACUGCCGGUGAUAAACCGGAGGAAGGUGUGGAUGACGUCAAGUCAUCAUGCCCCUUAUAUCCUCGGGCUACACACGUACUACAAUGCUACGGACAAAGGGCAGCAAGUUCGCGAGGACAAG